rnacentral:rRNA from 1 species
UACGGGAGGCAGCAGUGGGGAAUAUUGGACAAUGGGCGAAAGCCUGAUCCAGCCAUGCCGCAUGAGUGAAGAAGGCCUUCGGUUGUAAAGCUCUUUAGUGAGAAAGAAUAAUGACGGUACUCACAGAAGAAGUCCUGGCUAACUCCGUGCCAGCAGCCGCGGUAAUACGGAGAGGGCUAGCGUUAUUCGGAAUUAUUGGGCGUAAAGAGCGCGUAGGCUGAUUUAGUAAGUUAAAAGUGAAAUCCCAAAGCUUAACUUUGGAAUUGCUUUUUAAAACUGCUAGUCUAGAGAUUGAAAGAGGAUAGAGGAAUUCCUAGUGUAGAGGUGAAAUUCGUAAAUAUUAGGAGGAACACCAGUGGCGAAGGCGUCUAUCUGGUUCAAAUCUGACGCUGAGGCGCGAAGGGCGUGGGGAGCAAACGAGGGAUUAGAUACC